UUUUAAACGCAUCAACUAAACGACUACAAUAUCGGUCAAUUGGCCUCAUAUAUCAACUGCAAACCGAUCAUGUGAUUCAUGCACACUUCUUAAUGGGCAUCAAUUUUUCAAUUUCACUAAUUGAACUCGAUUGCGUAAGUGCAGGAUUGUGGAAAAGUUUUCCAGUCUAACUUAACGUUGUUUUCUCGUAAAAUAUAUUUUUAAAACCACCUUGUACCAAAAUACAAAGUAGAUUGGCUAGAAUUGACUACGCCAUUACAUUUUCAAGCGCAAUUGGGACUUUUCCAACAAUUUUUUGAGACGGCACAUAUAAAGGUGCAAUAGACAGUGGCGUCACAACCAGGCCCAAAUAUCCACCGUGUAUUUUUAUUCAUCGUCAUCAAAGUGAAUUGGCUCCAAUGGACCGAUACGACUUAAAUUUACAUUUGGAAAAAAACAUUUUGCUAUUAAUUAUAUCAAAGAAUCGGUCUUUUUGUAUUGAAGUGUGCAAUUUUUGGUCUUUUUCAAGCCUUCAAAGAUAAACCUGCAGUUAUCCCGCAGCACAUUCCGCCUCCCACCUAGUGAAAGUGCAGUUUGAACUGGACACAACUGGACGUUUCCAAUUCCCUACCUACAAACAUGUUUAUAAGCUGGCGAAUUAAAUACACAUUAAACUAAGAAAA